UACAGAGGUCUCAAGCGUUGUUCGGAUUCAUUGGGCGUAAAGGGUGCGUAGGCGGCGCGGUAAGUCGGGUGUGAAAUCUCGGAGCUUAACUCCGAAACUGCAUUCGAUACUGCCGUGCUGGAGGACUGGAGAGGAGACUGGAAUUUACGGUGUAGCGGUGAAAUGCGUAGAUAUCGUAAGGAAGACCAGUGGCGAAGGCGGGUCUCUGGACAGUUCCUGACGCUGAGGCACGAAGGUCAGGGGAGCAAACGGG
rnacentral:rRNA from 1 species